GUGCUCACUUUGACGGCACAUAUAUUAAAACUGGAAUGAUACAGAGAAGAUUAGCAUGGCCCCUGCCUAAGGAUGAUACACAAAUUCGUGAAGCAUUCCAUAUUUUA
ensembl:snRNA U6 U6 spliceosomal RNA